rnacentral:rRNA from 1 species
CAGCAGCCGCGGGAAUACGUAGGGUGCAAGCGUUAAUCGGAAUUACUGGGCGUAAAGCGUGCGCAGGCGGUUUUGUAAGUCUGUCGUGAAAUCCCCGGGCUCAACCUGGGAAUGGCGAUGGAGACUGCAAGGCUAGAAUCUGGCAGAGGGGGGUAGAAUUCCACGUGUAGCAGCGAAAUGCGUAGAUAUGUGGAGGAACACCGAUGGCGAAGGCAGCCCCCUGGGCUAAGAUUGACGCUCAUGCACGAAAGCGUGGGGAGCAAACAGGAUUAGAUACCCGGGUAGUCCCUGUCUCUUAUAC